UAAUGAGCAACGAACGUCCAGUCCAUCUC
rnacentral:piRNA from 1 species